GCGGGGGUCGCCAAGCCAGGUCAAAGGCGCAGGGCUUAGGACCCUGUCCCGUAGGGGUUCGUGGGUUCGAAUCCCACCCCCCGCA
rnacentral:tRNA from 1 species